rnacentral:rRNA from 1 species
UACGAAGGGGGCUAGCGUUGCUCGGAAUCACUGGGCGUAAAGGGUGCGUAGGCGGGUCUUUUAAGUCAGGGGGUGAAAUCCUGGAGCUCAACUCCAGAACUGCCUUUGAUACUGAGGAUCUUGAGUUCGGGAGAGGUGAGUGGAACUGCGAGUGUAGAGGUGAAAUUCGUAGAUAUUCGCAAGAACACCAGUGGCGAAGGCGGCUCACUGGCCCGAUACUGACGCUGAGGCACGAAAGCGUGGGGAGCAAACGGGG